rnacentral:rRNA from 1 species
CAUUAGAUACCCCUGUAGUCCCAGCCGUAAACGAUACUCGCUAGGUGUCGGCCACGGUGCGACCGUUGUCGGUGCCGUAGGGAAGCCGUGAAGCGAGCCACCUGGGAAGUACGGCCGCAAGGCUGAAACUUAAAGGAAUUGGCGGGGGAGCACCACAACGGGUGGAGCUUGCGGUUUAAUUGGAUUCAACGCCGGAAAUCUUACCGGGACCGACAGCAACAUGAAGGCCAGGCUGAAGACUUUGCCGGAUUAGCUG